AACUUCACAAUUUAAAGGUUGUUUGCUUUGAAGGUAAACUUUGCUUCUUCUUGUUUUUGGUUUUAAAUCAAUUGUUCACUCUUGAUUAUAUCAACAACAUUGAAUAUCAAUGAAAGAAAUGAAAAAUUAUUCCUAAUUUAUUCAAUCAAAUAUCAAGAACAAGCGUCAACAUGACAGGCUGGGAAUAAAUAAAUAUAAAUAAAACAAUGAAUCAAAUGAAGGAAAAAAGCUGUGAAAAUGUCUUCCAUUACGCUUUUAUCAACUUGCAAUUUUCAUUGAGAAAUGUUUGGUUAUUGAAAAAGAUAACAAUCGUGAAAUUGUUUCAAUCAUGGCAACUCUUUUCUCCAAAUUAUUGUUGAUCAUUUUCAUCACGUAAAUGAAACAAACCGAGCUCAUUAACAUAUUUGUAGCCAAGCUCAAUAUCAAAAUGAAUGACAUGUUCAUUAGGAUAAAAUCAAUUUGCAAAACAAAUUUUGCUCCAACAAUGACAAAUAAAGACUAAUUUUUUCGUGCAACUUUCAGCUGAUCAAAUGAUGAGCUAAACUUCAAGGAAACCAAUCGAUGUGCUAAACGAAAAUAUCUUUUCGCAUUUUCAUAUUUUGUCUGAGAACUCGACUUUACAGCCUGAGAACUGUCGAAACGUUUUCAACUGGUUUUAUGACCGUCGUAAGAUUUUGUUUAAACAUUUUGGCAAACGAGAAAAGAUUUUGGGAAAUUGUCUAAAGUCAUGAAGAAAUGCUGUUCUUUUAACCGAGUUUACCUUUUCAUGAUUGUUGGUUGAAGUACAAAUGAUUCAAUGUUUUAUGAUUAAUCAAAAAAUAAGAUGAAACUAUUAUCGAUGUUUCCAUUGUUUGGAUAAAACAAAUGACUUUUGAUAAUCGUUAUUGAUAUUUACAUUUGUUAGUUUUUCCCUUUAACCAACAUGUAAUCUUCAAUUGAACAAUGAACAAUUUCAACUAAAUUGAUAACUUAAUCAUUAUAUCAAUAAAAGACGAGAGUUACGCGAAAAAUGUUAAGAAUGGGAAAAGCAUUCAUUCAUUGAAACCUGAAAUGUACAUUAUACAAUAAACAGACAAACAGAUAAAAACAAUCAAAAGGUAAGCUUCCAUUUAAACGUUGAUUUGAUUUGUUGGUUUAUUUACAGAGUAAAAUGAAUAGUUGAUCCAAAGCAAUUAUUAAUAAACUGUUACAGUCGUUUUUGGGUUUCACUUUGAGUUUGCAUUUCAACAGCUAUGAUAGCUGAACAGAUUGGCAAGGAAUCGAACGGGAAAAACUGACAAAAUGAGACAAGAAAAGAUGAUAAAAAAAAGACAAAAGAUAAACACGAAAAGGUAAACAGAUGAGUGUUGUGCUUUCAUGAUGAGUUCAUUUUGAUGACAAGAUGAACUUGAAAGUUGAUAAACAAGGUAAAACUGGUGCAAUGAAAUGAAAAGUAAAAACAAGUUAACAGAUAUUCAAAUGAACCACAAUUAAAUCGGUAAAUAUUUAUCAUGGUCAAUAUUGAGACUAAAUUUACUCUCAAAAUAUUUAUUGAAGACAAGAAAUAGGUGCUACAAACAAUUUACCAAAGGUACCAUUAAAGACAAGAGUAAAUCUCAAGCAUGUUGCUCAUCUAGACGAUGGAAUGAAGACAAAAGGAUAAAAGAUGGAAUGAUGAGGAUAAACAGUUUGGACAGUUUAGUUUUAAAGUGAAGAGCCUCUUGAAUAACCUAAGAUUGAAAAAUUCCCAAGAAAUGAUGGAUUCGCAUCCAACACCAUAUUGUCAUCACUUGUAGCAAAAGUUUAUUUAUAUGAUUAUCUUUAGGCACACAAGUGUAUUUGAUACAGUUUGUUGCAUUUAAUGGGCAACAAUGUUGAAGAGUAAACAGAAAACUAUUUAAGUGAUAUUUUCAUCAUAACCAAUUUUGUAAAUCUAUAUUACUCCGUUGAGAAGUGCUGAUGGUGAGGAGACAAGGGUUUCAUGGAUUAUCGAGCAUUUCCUCCAGAUUAUCAUGUAAACCAUUUUUAUCCCUCAACAAGGUAAUUGAAAAGGCAGAGUUUAAGGCCACUAAGAAGGGCUUGAAUUUUCUCUUUCGGAUUAGAAUAAUUGAUGUCGUCGAGAAAAUCGAAGUUUUAGGCAAAUUUUCUCUGAACACA